rnacentral:snRNA from 1 species
UAUCUCUUAAAAAACAUUCAAUAAAAUUGGAACAAUACAAAGAAAAUUAACAUGGCCCUGUGCAAUAAUGAGAUACACAAAUAUAGAAAUGGUCCAAAUUUUU